UACGUAGGGUGCAAGCGUUGUCCGGAAUUAUUGGGCGUAAAGAGCUCGUAGGCGGUCUGUCGCGUCGGCUGUGAAAACUCGGGGCUCAACCCCGAGCCUGCAGUCGAUACGGGCAGACUAGAGUCCGGCAGGGGAGACUGGAAUUCCUGGUGGUAGCGGUGAAAUGCGCAGAUAUCAGGAGGAACACCGGUGGCGAAGGCGGGUCUCUGGGCCGGAACUGACGCUGAGGAGCGAAAGCGUGGGGAGCGAACAGG
rnacentral:rRNA from 1 species